CAAUGCAAUAGAGGUUGCGACAAUUACGAAAAUCAGCCUAGUACGCGAAUAUGAUUAAGCUGAUUGUAAGAAUUGUUGCCGAAAUCGAAUUGACUUUCGCGGGUUAGUUCGGUUGGGCUACAGGAGCAGAUCCUGUAGACUGUCCUGAGAAUAUCAGGGAGCGCUAUACGAUUU
rnacentral:ncRNA from 2 species